rnacentral:pre_miRNA from 11 species
UGGUGCAAGAUGGAGAAGCAGGGCACGUGCAUUACUGUCUCACAGCAGUGCCUUGAUUAGUUCUUCAUGUGCCCCUCUUUUCCAUCAUGACCCU